CAGGAUCCAUAGUAACUGCGAGUGAAACGGGAUGAGCCCAGCGCUGAAUCUUCGUGCUGUAAUGGUGCGGCGAACUGUAGCGUAUAGAGGCGGUUUUUUGUGAUUGAGUGCUGCUUAAGUUCCCCUUGACUGGGGUUCCAUAGAAGGUGUUAGGCCUGUUAAGCGGUUACCUGAUUGCGAAUGAUCGUUUCUGGGAGUCGGGUUGUUUGGAAACACAGCCCUAAGUAGGUGGUAUACUCCAUCUAAGGCUAAAUAUUACCACAAGUCCGAUAGCGAACAAGUACCGUGAGGGAAAGUUGCAAAGUACUCUGAAGAGAGAGUUAAAAAGGACGUGAAACUGAUAAAGUGUAAGCGGAUAGAGUUGACGAACCUUAACUCGUAAUCAGCCGGUUGGCUUGUAUGCGGUGUGUUGGCGUUUUACCGUUCAGGUUAGCGUUGGCGCAUGCAGUAUGCGGUUUGACUGGUGCACUUGCGAGUGGUGCGCUGAUGCGAAUGAUUGAGCUGCGGGAAGCGUAUUAAGAGGGCAUUCCUUCGCGGGAGUGUGUACUUGUUGCGUGGAAAGCGGUCUCUUGGUUAUUCGGUUGCGAAUGUGCGUGUACCUUGGUGGUUGCAUUGCUGGUGCUCGGUUGGGAUCGCGUGCGAUUUCGCUUUGCAUUGGUAGUGUUACUGUUUGGGGAAGCGUGCGUUUCAUCGGUGUAAAAGUCGACCACCUAUCCGUCCCGUCUUGAAACACGGACCAAGGAGUUUAACGUAUGCGCRAGUCAUUGGGUGUGCAAAACCUAAAGGCGUAAUGAAAGUAAAGGCUUCCGUUGGGUUGCUUAUAUGUGAUUUGUGYUGUUUCGGCAGCGCAAAGCAGCAUGGUCCCGUCUAUGCCGUAUACGGUUGGGCGGAGAUAGAGCGUAUGCGUUGAGACCCGAAAGAUGGUGAACUAUGCCUGAGCAGGAUGAAGCCGGAGGAAACUCCGGUGGAAGUCCGAAGCGGUUCUGACGUGCAAAUCGAUCGUCUGAYUUGGGUAUAGGGGCGAAAGACUAAUCGAACCAUCUAGUAGCUGGUUCCCUCUGAAGUUUCCCUCAGGAUAGCUUCGAUCAGUUAAUAAACAGUUAUACUCGGUAAAGCGAACGAUUAGAGGUCUUGGGGACGAAAUGUUCUCAACCUAUUCUCAAACUCUUAAUGGGUAUGAUGUAGCGGUUGCCUAACGGAACCGUUGCGUUGAAUGUUGGUCGAAAGUGGGCCAUUUUUGGUAAGCAGAACUGGCGCUGCGGGAUGAACCGAACGCGGAGUUAAGGUGCCUAACUAUUCGCUCAUGAGACCCCAUAAAAGGUGUUGGUUGAUAUAGACAGCAGGACGGUGGACAUGGAAGUCGUAAACCGCUAAGGAGUGUGUAACAACUCACCUGCCGAAUCAACUAGCCCUGAAAAUGGAUGGCGCUCUAGCGAGUGACCUAUACUUCGCCGUUGCUGGCUUUUUUUUCGGAAACAGGCCGUAACGUGUAAGAGGGUCGUAGCGAUUUGCGUUGAAGGUUUAAGGCGUGAGCCUAGCUGGAGCAGUCGCUAGUGCAGAUCUUGGUGGUAGUAGCAAAUAUUCAAGUGAGAUCCUUGAAGACUGAAGUGAAAAAGGUUUCCACGUGAACAGCAGUUGAAUGUGGGUCAGUCGGUCCUAAGCAAACGGCAAACGCCGUAACGAAAUGUGAGGUUGACUAUUUUCGAAUGGUUCCUCAUUCCUUGCGAAAGGGAAGUCUGUUAAUAUUCAGACACUAUACUCAGAGAUGUUGAAUCGGUUUCGGCCGGAUUGACUGGGGCGGUAACGCAAAUGAACUCGCAGACGUUGCAUAAAGUUCGGGCCAGAGUUCUCUUUUCUGGUUUAGAAGUUGUGUCCAUGGAAUGGGUUCGUCCCGAGAURUGGAUGAUGGCUUCGUAGAGCGCCGCGGUUCCUGUGGCGUCCCGAUUGCUUUAUGUGGACCUUGAAAAUGCGAGGGAACCCUAAUGAAUUUUGAGUAUAGCCGUACCGUAUUCCGCAUCAGGUUUUCAAGGUGAACAGCCUCUAGUCGAUAGAAUAAUGUAGGUAAGGGAAGUCGGCAAAUUAGAUCCGUAACUUCGGGAAAAGGAUUAGCUCUAAGGAUUGGGUUGGUCGGGCWGUUUCGCAAAGCUUGACUGAUCGCGGUCAUGGCUGCGGGAUGCUUCGGCUGAACGCGGACUAGUGCCGUGAUUGUCUUGUGGAGUGUUAUGGCUUUGGUGCGUUCUCCCAAGGACGUACUCGCGGCUAACGUUUAACAGUCGACUUAGAACUGACACGGRCACGGGGAAUCCGACUGUCUAAUUAAAACAGAGCAAACAGAUGGCGUUUAUGUGCGUUGACUGUUUGUGAUUUCUGCCCAGUGCUCUGAAUGUUAACUUAAGGAAACUUAAUUAAGCGCGGGUAAACGGCGGAAGUAACUAUGACUUUCUUAAGGUAGCCAAAUGCCUCGUCGGAYAAYUACCGACGCGCACGAAUGGAUUAACGAGACUCCCACUGUCCCUAUCUACUAUCUAGCGAAACCACAGCCAAGGGAACGGGCUUGGAAAAUACAGCGGGGAAAGAAGACCCUGUUGAGCUUGACUCUAGUCUGACUUUGUGAAGAAUCAUGAGAGGUGUAGUAUAAGGGGGAGGCUUCGGUCGACAGUGAAAUACCCCUACUUUCAUCGAUUCCUUACUUAUUUGGUURAACGGUGAUUGGACGCAAGUCCUUUCUUUUUGCAUUAAGCCGGCGCUCUCGGAGUGCCGGUGAACCGCACUGAUGACAUUGUCAGGCGGGGAGUUUGACUGGGGCGGUACAUCUAUCAAAUCGUAACGUAGGUGUCCUAAGGUGAACUCAGAGAGAACAGAAAUCUCUCGUAGAAUAAAAGGAUAAAAGUUCACUUGAUCUUGAUUCUCAGUACGAAUACAGACCGCGAAAGCGUGGCCUAUCGAUCCUUUUUAAUUAUGGAGUAUAUAUAAAGAGGUGUCAGAAAAGUUACCACAGGGAUAACUGGCUUGUGGCAGCCAAGCGUCCAUAGCGACGUUGCUUUUUGAUCCUUCGAUGUC
rnacentral:rRNA from 1 species